AGUCCCGCGCGCCCUCUGCCCUGACGCGGUGUGUGCCAGCUACCCGAGUGAAAGGUUUUCGGGGGAUUAAUCCUGAUGGGGUCUGCGGCGGCCCUUGCCCAGCGCCUUCCACAUGUGGAGCGGGCCAGUGGUGCUAGUUCUGCCGCCAACUCUGGACGGUUGAGUUCAGGGCCACUUUUUACUCAGGCACGGAUGUGACAGAAAGAUGGAAAAGGGUCUUGGAAGAACCACAUGUGCCGUAUAACGAACGACCUUUUGGUCUGAGGAGGACCGUGUAUAUGACGGUGGUCCCAUAACAUGAUAACGGAGCUGGAAACUUCCUGUCCUCUGGUGAGGGCUUAGCUAAGGACAUUUCCUCUCCUGUAUUUGGAGAUACACGUACAGGUGGAUCUGAAGCAGUGCUGCCUUAGUCUCCUUGGACUCUCAGCUCCAUUUCCUCAGCUCAAGUAGUCCACUGGGCUCUACCUCAGUUCUGCCUCCUCUUGCUGUGGCCUAGAAAUUCUCUCUGGAUAUCAGAAAACAAAGGACAGUAAUCCCUGCCAAGAUGGGAUACAAACAAGCUGCAGCCCUUGGUGCACAGUAUGAUCUGGACCUGGGGCACAGCAAGACCAGAACCAUGAACCACCAUGAACCAUGACUCCUCACUUGUGAGAUGACGUGUGCAAGACCCUGUGGACACAGAGUGACAGCUGAGUGCAAGUGUCAGUGAAGAGACCUAGAUUGUGGGGACUUUCCUGGCCUGGCAGAGAACCUUGUGUCUGCUCACGGGAGAAGGAAAGAACAAUUCCUCUGCAGAACUCCCAUUAUGGAUUCAUGGGUAUACUUGGAUGGUGUCUGACCGAGCUCCACGAAGGCAGGGAAGUACCUUCCGUCUUUUGUCUUCACAACCAAGCCCAGAGCCCCUGCAGGCAGCCUCCCUCAGCACAGGCACGUGGCGGAGCACUCCGUGGCUCCUGAUGUCCAGGGCCCAGCUCCUGCCAGGUUGUGGAGGGCCGUCGGCAUGUCACCCUCUCACUGAUGCUGGGACCUGAGGCUGGGUGCUGGAGAAGUCUAACGGGACACAAUUUCAAAGCACUUUGGCUUAUUUAAAAAAUCUCCACCUUCAUGUUUCAAGAAAGAAUUCUUGCAGCAACAAUGAAAGAAGCACCUACCACUACUGUUGACUCCCACUGGCUUCCAGUGGAGUAGUGAACCGGACCCAGUAAGUCCUUGCAUAUUUCUCGAAGUCGGUAUUCAAACCCUAAUUACAGAAAAACAAACAAACAACAACAACAAAAAACAAAACAGAAAUAGGAACACAUUACAAAAAGAAAUAAAAUCAAGAAUAUGUUGUUGUGUCUAUCAAA